rnacentral:rRNA from 1 species
GACAGAGGGUGCAAACGUUGUUCGGCUUUCCUGUUCUUCCCUCUCUUUUAGGCGGCUUUGCAAGUCGGAUGUGAAAUCCCACGGCUCAACCGUGGAAGUGCAUCCGAAACUGCAUCGCUGGAGUCUCGGAGAGGAAGGUGGAAUGCUUGGUGUAGAGGUGAAAUUCGUAGAUAUCAAGCAGAACACCUGCGGCGAAGGCGGCCUUCUGGACGAUGACUGACGCUGAGACGCGAAAGCGUGGGGAGCAAACAGG